rnacentral:rRNA from 1 species
UGGGGAAUAUUGCACAAUGGAGGGAACUCUGAUGCAGCGACGCCGCGUGAACGAAGAAGGCUUUCGAGUCGUAAAGUUCUUUUAUAUGGGAAGAUAAUGACGGUACCAUAAGAAAAAGCCCCGGCUAACUACGUGCCAGCAGCCGCGGUAAUACGUAGGGGGCUAGCGUUGUCCGGAAUCACUGGGCGUAAAGGGUUCGCAGGCGGAAAUGCAAGUCAGGUGUAAAAGGCAGUAGCUUAACUACUGUAAGCAUUUGAAACUGCAUAUCUUGAGAAGAGUAGAGGUAAGUGGAAUUUGUAGGGUAGCGGUGAAAUGCGUAGAUAUUAAAAAGAAUACCGGUGGCGAAGGGGACUUACUGGGCUCAUUCUGACGCUGAGGAACGAAAGCGUGGGUAGCAAACAGG